rnacentral:ncRNA from 2 species
AAGAAUAGCGAGGUAUCAGGUGAAGAGGUCUUGCAAGGCAAGGCUCUGGAAAGAGGGAAUCAGGUGAAAAUCCUGAGCGAACUGGUCACUGUAUUCAGGGAGUGAACUUCAGUAACCAUUGCAUCCCAGAUAUGUGAGAAGGUGAAGGGAACGGCGAACUGUAAGUCAGGAAACCUGCCUGAUACACAGGAUGUGC